rnacentral:rRNA from 1 species
AUGAACGCUGGCGGCGUGCCUCAUACAUGCAAGUCGAGCGAACAGACGAGGAGCUUGCUCCUCUGACGUUAGCGGCGGACGGGUGAGUAGCACGUGGAUAACCUACCUAUAAGACUGGGAUAACUUCGGGAAACCGGAGCUAAUACCGGAUAAUAUAUUGAACCGCAUGGUUCAAUAGUGAAAGACGGUUUUGCUGUCACUUAUAGAUGGAUCCGCGCCGCAUUAGCUAGUUGGUAAGGUAACGGCUUACCAAGGCAACGAUGCGUAGCCGACCUGAGAGGGUGAUCGGCCACACUGGAACUGAGACACGGUCCAGACUCCUACGGGAGGCAGCAGUAGGGAAUCUUCCGCAAUGGGCGAAAGCUUGACGGAGCAACGCCGCGUGAGUGAUGAAGGUCUUCGGAUCGUAAAACUCUGUUAUUAGGGAAGAACAAAUGUGUAAGUAACUAUGCACGUCUUGACGGUACCUAAUCAGAAAGCCACGGCUAACUACGUG